rnacentral:rRNA from 1 species
AGUGAACGCUGGCGGUAGGCCUAACACAUGCAAGUCGAACGGCAGCACAGGAGAGCUUGCUCUCUGGGUGGCGAGUGGCGGACGGGUGAGGAAUACAUCGGAAUCUACUUUUUCGUGGGGGAUAACGUAGGGAAACUUACGCUAAUACCGCAUACGACCUACGGGUGAAAGCAGGGGACCUUCGGGCCUUGCGCGAUUGAAUGAGCCGAUGUCGGAUUAGCUAGUUGGCGGGGUAAAGGCCCACCAAGGCGACGAUCCGUAGCUGGUCUGAGAGGAUGAUCAGCCACACUGGAACUGAGACACGGUCCAGACUCCUACGGGAGGCAGCAGUGGGGAAUAUUGGACAAUGGGCGCAAGCCUGAUCCAGCCAUACCGCGUGGGUGAAGAAGGCCUUCGGGUUGUAAAGCCCUUUUGUUGGGAAAGAAGUCCAGCUGGCUAAUACCCGGUUGGGAUGACGGUACCCAAAGAAUAAGCACCGGCUAACUUCGUGCCAGCCGCCGCAGUAACAC